GCCAGGCGUGGUGGCGUGUGCCUGUAGUCCCAGCUACUUGGGAGGCUGAGGCAGGAGAAUUGCUUGAACCCGGGAGGCGGAGGCUGCAGUGUGCCACUGCACUCCAGCCUGGGCAACAGAGCGAGACUCUGUCUCAA
rnacentral:SRP_RNA from 1 species